UGUAAAACACUUUUGAUUGGGAUCCA
rnacentral:piRNA from 1 species